GUGAUUGUCUAAUUAAGUAGACAGUGUCUGAAGGUCUACCUGUCCCUGUGUGUUUAAAUCAGUAAGUGCAAAAAUGUCUCUUGCACAAUUGAGAAUUCUCAAUCUAUAGAAACCUCUGGAGAUACCCUGAGUUCUCUUAAGACCCACUGAUCUUGAAGUCAGUGGCUGGAGUAGCCAUGAGUUAGGAAAGUCCUCCUGGCCCCAGGAGAAGUGGUAACACAAUGGUGCAGACUUGGGAGUUGUCCUAGUUAAGAUUGUCACUGCUGUGAUGAAACACCAUGAUUAAAGCAACCUGGAGAAGAAAGGGUUUAUUUGACUUAUACCUCCACAUCACAGUUCAUCACUGAAGGAAGCCAGGAUAGGAAUUCAAACAGCUCAGGAACCUGGGGGCAGGAGCUGAUGCAGAGGUCAUGGAAGAGUGCUGCUCACUGGCUUGCUGUCUUUGACUUACUCAACUUGCUUUCUUAAAGAACUGGGGACUUCCCCCUCCCCCUUUUCUAUUUUUCCUACUUGGAAACAGCUGAGGGCAAAGAAAGAUGCUGUCACUGCUGUAGUUCUUGGGUCCCUUGUUAGACCCCCGAAAACUCAAGUAUCCGGGGUCUCAGGCCAGGUUCGCGGUCACCCCAAUCACCAGGCGGAUUCGAGAGCUUGCUGCAAACUGCACGAGGCUUUAUUGUAAUUUAACGAACUAACCCCAUGUUAGCUCGGGUCUUUCACCCACCCGCCAUGGCUGACGGCUAGAAAAAGACGGCUCCUAAGGUCUCCCCAAAGAUCUUAUAGGGCAGCGUAAGGGGAGUGUCUAGGGGUACGCACAGGCUCAUGAUUGGUGUGCCUCCAGGCUUGGAGGGCUUGCCCUGUGUUGAUUGGUCAACUGGUUGUUAUGGCUCAUAGGCCCUCCCAGGGUGGUUGCUAUGCUCUCUACGUCAUUGCUGUGCGCUUGUCCGUAAAGCACACCCAGGGUCGUAAAGCAUAGCGCCACCAGCUAACUUCUGAUUGGUUCCUUGUCACAAGACAGGCAUCUGACCUCUAAGUGACCAAGGCAGGUAUAUGGCAAGCACAUGUUCGGCUGUUAUGGCUGCCAAAAGGGAAGCCGGUUCCUUCACCUUGACCUUGGACUUCCAGGAAUCCUAGGCCUUGGGGUUUCUACACUGGACAACUUCAAUGAGUGUUUAGGGCUUACUAGGAAAGUCUGGGUCUUUCUGAUGCCUUGGAUUAUCUCUAUUACUUUGCAGUUUGGGGCCAUGAUUUGGAGCCCUAGUUCAUGCUAAGCUUCUGAAAAGCUUUAGUUAGUUCCCGAGUGUAAGGGUUCAGGCAUUAUGCUGGCCUGCCCCCUGUUACCUGGUAGAAUACAUUCAGGCCCUACGUCUUUACUCAUUACACAUAGUCUGCAUGCAGGUGCAAAGGGCCUUUUAAGAGAAAGACUUCACCCACUUCUGCUUUCUUUCCUGCUGUUUCUCUGAAGGGGCAGACAGGACUCUCUCUCUCUCUCUCUCUCUCUCUCUCUCUCUCUCUCUCUCUCUCACUCUCUCUCUCUGCCCUCCUCUUUCUUCUUUUCCCCUCCCGCUCCCUUCCCUUUCUAAUAAAACUUCUCACUUAAGCUCUGUCUGCCUGGCAUGUUUGUCCCUCCCCUGCUAUGGAAUCCGCCAAGGCCGCCCUUGUGCAGUAUUAUAACACUGAGGCUGUCAGUAUUGGAAAAUGAUUUGUCUCUUCAACGUCACUCAAAGUGCCCAGGCCUGGCCUAGAACCAUGGUGUUAUGUUCAGCUGUAUUACCACUUCAUCUGUGUGGAUUUUAUAUGACUUACAAUCAAUAUAAUAGCACAGUUCUAUGGCACAGUUCUCAGAAGCACUGGCUAACCUACACCAGCAGCAUCAGCUGCUGGGGCCCCAUUUGGACUCCCUAAAGUUUAAAAGCAAUUGUUCACAAAUGCCCCAGCCCUAGGAACCUGAUGUCUAUGUCUUCAAGAGCUGUCUUAAGGGUAAGUCAGGAGUCUGAAAGACUUCUUUUUAAAAAGAAAUUUUGAAAAAAAUUGAACGUAAAACUUGUACAUAUUUAUGGAUCCCAUGUGAUGUUUUGCUGUAUUUAUUAUAUUAUGUAAUGUUCAAGUCAGGGUAGGCAUGUCUUUCUCCACAAACAUUUAGCAUUUCUUUUCCACAAGCAUUUAAAAUCAAUUUUUCCUAACUUUUUGGGGGGCUACACAGUAUUUCGUCAUAUACAUAUGAGUACCCUACAGUGCAAUGGAACCUCAACAUUGUUUCCCCUGCCUAGCUGACACCCACUACCCACUGACCAAUCUUUCCCCAUCCUCCUUCUACCCUCCCCAGUCUUUAGUAACCAUCAGUCUCCUCUUGAUUUCUGAGAACAUGGUUUUAGAAUCCACACAUGGGUGGGGUUGUGCGGCACUGUCUUUUUCUGUGUCAGCUUAGUGUUCUCUAGGUCCAUUAGGGCAGACCUCUUGUCACUUUCCAAACCAGACAGGUUCUCAUGACCUUGACACAGAACUCAUUUUUUUCCUUAGUUACUGACUUUUUCUGGAACUUCCUAAAGUUCACAGGGACAAUCACAAAGAAGGUCACUGGAGGCCAUCUUUCUGAAUACCCAAUAAGAUGGAGCUAUUCGAAAAGUGAGCCAUGUUGAUCCUUGAAUGACAUUGGUGGCCCAAGGAAGAAAACCCUCACUGCCACUAGCCAUUACUGAUAAUGGCAACAGUAGCUUUGAACACAGACUGUUUAAACUACGGGGAAAUAACAAAUUUUGUUUUUGGGGACUGGUGACACUAUGAUUGUAAGACCCCCCAAAAGCUCAGGCCUCCAGGAUCUCAGCGCAGGACCAUAGUCACCCCAAUCACCAGGCGGAUUCGAAAGCUUGAUGCAAACUGCAUGAGGCUUUGUUAAAGUUGUUUAAGAGCUAACCCCAUUUUAGCUCAGGUCUUUCAUCCAUCCACCAUGGAGGAUGGCUAGAAAAGACAGCUUGAAGUGUCUGCAUAGAGAUCUUAUAGGGCAGCAUAAGGGGAGUAUCUAGUGGUACGCACAGGUUCAGGAUUGGUGUGCCUCCAGGCUUGGAGGGCUUGCCCUGUGUUGAUUGGUCAACUGGUUGUUAUGGCCAAUAGGCCCUCCCAGGGUGGUUGCUAUGCUCUGUGCGUCAUUGCUGUGCAUUUGUCUGAAAAGCACACUCAGAGCCUUAAAGCAUAGCACCACCAGCUAACUUCUGAUUGGUUCCUUGCCAUGAGGCAGGCAUCUGACCUCUUAGUGACCAAGGCAAGGUCAGACAAGCACAUGUUCGGCUGUUAUGGCUGCCGAAAUGGGGAUCUGGUCCCUUCAUGAUAAAAUCUGGUUACCAAAUUGCACCUUCCUUUGUAAGGGGUUUGCUGCUAAGUUCUUUGUUUAGCUAGAUGGAUGUGGCAUAAUAAUAGUUCAUGAGCUAUGUGUAUGAACUAUUACAGCUUACUGAGACUAAGGUUUAAACACACAGGUUCAUCCUGACAAGCACUAUGGGUUAGGUUUCAGAUGUCUCACCAUCUAGAGUUCAAACUUUUCAGAGAAAUGAAAGAGCCAUCAGAUCUGCAUUGAGAUUUGUCUGGCCAGAAAGUCUACCCUGGACUGUCUUGUAGGUGGUCGUGGGGGUGGUGUGCACAGCAGAAUUGCAGUGUGUUCAGGGCAUUCUGGGAGCCGCAGAGACGUUUUCCAGUAAGGAUUCGUGUCAGCUUCAGAGUGCUCAAAAGCAGCCUAAAAGAACACUGCCAGAAAAGCUAUUAUUGCUGCCUUAAAUCCUUGUUGGAACAAAAUGUGAAACAAAAACGGGAGAAAUAGAACAAAGCAAGUCAUUGUGUAGCAAACCCCACUAUCCUGUGUACCUGGCUGGCCUGUUGGUGACUCAGGAAGGUCAGGUACCAGGCUGAGCUAGUUGCUUUAAAUCUCCAGUUUUCAGGGGUGUGUAUGGGGGCCUAUGUCCUUCAAGGGAGUGUGGGUGAAGGGCGCCCCUCGAUGAAACCUCCUUAUUUUGACCACCUCCCAGUUUGUUUUCAAGGAACAAGCAGGUGGGUUCAUCGGAUUCAACCUGGGGUUGAGUCCCUUCUCUAUGUUUUCCUGGGGACUUCCUUCAUCCUGGUUCCAUUAGAGCAGACAGGGGCACAGAGGGGCGCAGACUUCGGGCAUCGAGGGAGAGCUGUUCCUGCUUGGACCCAAGCAAUGGCAAACUCCCAACAACUUCUUUCUUGCCCUUCAUUAAGCAUUUGUUGGACCUGGAAAGGAAAUGGAUUCUAAAGGCAGGAAAUGACCCAAAGACCGGAACAAUGUGUGCAGAUCUAAACUCGUGCUUCCGCUGCUUUGUUUCAAACCAUUCUAAUCUGUGUCCCAGGAAGCCUUGCCCAUGGCCAGAUGGAGAUCUGUUUUCCAACAGGCUCUUGGCAUCUGCCACUCCCAGCUGGUGACAUUCGCACGUUUCCUAAGGCAAACCUGUCCUCACAUCUUCAAACUUCUGGAGAGGUGUAGCCCCAGGAAAGUCCCCGAGCCUCUGGCUGACAGGGCGAGCCAUCUGAUGUACCUCAUCCGCUGAACUGCUGCUGGACUCCAGCCU
rnacentral:lncRNA from 1 species